rnacentral:sRNA from 1 species
CUGACAGGCCUAGAGUACUGCCUUUUUCCACAGAAUAAGCACAGCACAGGUAGCAGCAGCACAAUCUUCCCCGCGCAGCUCUGUACCAACAUGCCUCCACCCUGAGAUGGAGGGACCAUCUCCUCCCCAGAUGACCCAGCAGCUUCCAACUGCGACUGCUUCCAGCGGUGGUUGUG